GACGAACGCUGGCGGCGUGCCUAAUACAUGCAAGUAGAACGCUGAAGGAGGAGCUUGCUUCUCUGGAUGAGUUGCGAACGGGUGAGUAACGCGUAGGUAACCUGCCUGGUAGCGGGGGAUAACUAUUGGAAACGAUAGCUAAUACCGCAUAAGAGUAGAUGUUGCAUGACAUUUUCUUAAAAGGUGGAAUUGCAUCACUACCAGAUGGACCUGCGUUGUAUUAGCUAGUUGGUGGGGUAACGGCUUACCAAGGCGACGUUACAUAGCCGACCUGAGAGGGUGAUCGGCCACACUGGGACUGAGACACGGCCCAGACUCCUACGGGAGGCAGCAGUAGGGAAUCUUCGGCAAUGGACGGAAGUCUGACCGAGCAACGCCGCGUGAGUGAAGAAGGUUUUCGGAUCGUAAAGCUCUGUUGUAAGAGAAGAACGAGUGUGAGAGUGGAAAGUUCACACUGUGACGGUAUCUUACCAGAAAGGGACGGCUAACUACGUG
rnacentral:rRNA from 1 species